AGCUAGAGUUUGAUCCUGGCUCGGAGCGAACGCUGGCGGCAGGCCUAAUACAUGCAAGUCGAGCGCCGUAGCAAUACGGAGCGGCAGACGGGAGAGUAACACGUGGGAACGUGCCCUUCAGUUCGGAACAACCCAGGGAAACUUGGGCUAAUACCGGAUACGUCCGUAAGGAGAAAGAUUUAUCGCUGAAGGAUCGGCCCGCGUCUGAUUAGCUAGUUGGUGGGGUAAUGGCCCACCAAGGCGACGAUCAGUAGCUGGUCUGAGAGGAUGGCCAGCCACACUGGAACUGAGACACGGUCCAGACUCCUACGGGAGGCAGCAGUGGGGAAUCUUGCACAAUGGGCGAAAGCCUGAUGCAGCGACGCCGCGUGGGGGAUGAAGCUUCUCGGAGUGUAAACCCCUUUCGACCCGGACGAAUGCCCCGCAAGGGGACUGACGGUACGGGUAUAAGAAGCCCCGGCUAACUACGUGCCAGCAGCCGCGGUA
rnacentral:rRNA from 1 species